rnacentral:rRNA from 1 species
AUUGAACGCUGGCGGCAUGCCUUACACAUGCAAGUCGAACGGUAACAGGUCUUCGGAUGCUGACGAGUGGCGCACGGGUGAGUAAUACAUCGGAACGUGCCCAGACGUGGGGGAUAACGAGGCGAAAGCUUUGCUAAUACCGCAUACGAUCUAAGGAUGAAAGCAGGGGACCGCAAGGCCUUGUGCGUUUGGAGCGGCCGAUGGCAGAUUAGGUAGUUGGUGGGAUAAAAGCUUACCAAGCCGACGAUCUGUAGCUGGUCUGAGAGGACGACCAGCCACACUGGGACUGAGACACGGCCCAGACGCCUACGGGAGGCAGCAGUGGGGAAUGUUGGACAAUGGGCGAAAGCCUGAUCCAGCAAUGCCGCGUGCAGGAUGAAGGCCUUCGGGUUGUAAACUGCUUUUGUACGGAACGAAAAGGCUCUGGCUAAUACCUGGGGCACAUGACGGUACCGGAAGAAUAAGCACCGGCUAACUACGUG